CCAUAGUAAAGACCAGUAUGGACUAUCAAUACAGGUACUGUAUGUAGAACCAUAGUAAAGACCAGUAUGGACUAUCAAUACAGGUACUGUAUGUAGAACCAUAGUAAAGACCAGUAUGGACUAUCAAUACAGAUACUGUAUGUAGAACCAUAGUAAAGACCAGUAUGGACUAUCAAUACAGGUACUGUAUGUAGAACCAUAGUAAAGACCAGUAUGGACUAUCAAUACAGGUACUGUAUGUAGAACCAUAGUAAAGACCAGUAUGGACUAUCAAUACAGGUACUGUAUGUAGAACCAUAGUAAAGACCAGUAUGGACUAUCAAUACAGGUACUGUAUGUAGAACCAUAGUAAAGACCAGUAUGGACUAUCAAUACAGAUACUGUAUGUAGAACCAUAGUAAAGACCAGUAUGGACUAUCAAUACAGAUACUGUAUGUAGAACCAUAGUAAAGACCAGUAUGGACUAUCAAUACAGAUACUGUAUGUAGAACCAUAGUAAAGACCAGUAUGGACUAUCAAUACAGAUACUGUAUGUAGAACCAUAGUAAAGACCAGUAUGGACUAUCAAUACAGAUACUGUAUGUAGAACCAUAGUAAAGACCAGUAUGGACUAUCAAUACAGGUACUGUAUGUAGAACCAUAGUAAAGACCAGUAUGGACUAUCAAUACAGGUACUGUAUGUAGAACCAUAGUAAAGACCAGUAUGGACUAUCAAUACAGGUACUGUAUGUAGAACCAUAGUAAAGACCAGUAUGGACUAUCAAUACAGGUACUGUAUGUAGAACCAUAGUAAAGACCAGUAUGGACUAUCAAUACAGAUACUGUAUGUAGAACCAUAGUAAAGACCAGUAUGGACUAUCAAUACAAAGUGACCAUUUAGAAUGAGGCCCAGUUCAAUGAGAGGAAGUCUUAACAGAACUGGGGGAUGACAGACAGGAAGUGGGGGGUGGAGAUCUAAUAGAUCUUUGUGCCAAACACUAAAGCAUGAUAUUGUAAUACAUCUACACCCUAUUCCCUACAUAGAACACUACUUUAGACCUGGUCAGAAGCACCGUAGUGCACUACGUAGGGAAUAGGGAACCAUUUGGAACAGAGACAGUAAUUCCCCUGAACAUCUUCCUCUUCCUCAUCUGGUUUCUUGAACAGCCCUUCACUCCUCCCCUCUUCCUCCCCUCCUCCCUUUUCAUUCUAUUCUAUCAGCCACACCACUAGCUCACCUCCACACAAUACAUUUACAAGUUAAAGACACACCUUGGAAUAAAUAACAAAGGAAA